UCAAUUUGCAACCACAAAAGCCGCAAGGUCCAAGCCCCCUCCUGCUCCUCACGCCGAAGUCAGCAAGAAUGCCGACGGCGCGCCUCUGCCGGUAAAAAACUUCUCCUUUUCCCUCGUUCUUUCGUUUAUUUGUUUUUAAAAACAAGGAAGAAAAUAAAAAAGGUACAAAACAGUAAAGAGAAAGGAAAAACGGAACCAAUCUCAAUACCUUCAAAACUUUUUUUUAUUCUCUGUUUUUGCUUUCUUCAAUCUUUUGAUACAAAGAAUUUUUUCUCUCAUUUCGUCUGUAUCGUUUUUUACACUGAAAAAAUCCCCCACUUUACAGAUUAAAAUCGGCCUUAUAUAGCUAAUUAAUACCAAAAAUCCAAAAAGAAAAAAUCAAAAACCCACUUAUUUUUCGUUAUUUGUUGCGCUUGUGUGCCUCUAUUUUUGCAGGUUUGGUGGUGAAGAGGGCGCAUAUACGUGGAGGCACAAAUCGCACGGAAGGGACCCUGGCUCCGAGUCGAGCGGUGACGGGGGUUGUUGGGAGCAGAAGCGCGCAAAAAGAGGGUGACAGUUGCGGCGGCUACUAGGGUUUUUGACUUUUGAUUUGGGUAAAAAUUUGUUAAAUUUUGGGCUUGUUGGGCUGUUGGUGUUUUGGGCUUGUAAUUAGGGUUAAUAUUUGGGCUAUUGGAUUGGGACUUUGGUUUGUACGGGCCCGGGUAAAUUGGGCUUAUUAUAGCUGCCCCUCUUUGCUUGUUGUCGUGUAACGGGAACAGAGCAAAGACUGAAAAGCCCAAUUGUGCCCGGUCUUACUAAGCUUCAACUUCCUCAAUGCUUCAUUUCUUCAGGUAGCAUCAUUCCUUCCUACUGCAUCUUCAGAGGUAUAGGAACCCGUGCUUCGAUCCACUCCACUGCAACAUCAGGGAGAUAGGAUUCGUACGUUGUAACUUUUCAAAAGAACAAAAUUUGCUAUCUUUAAUCUGCUCCACUGCAACUUUAGGGAGAUAAGACUUAUAGCUUCAAUUUGUUCUGCUACAACUUGAAAAAUAAAUCGGAUGCGAUCUGCUCUACUGUAACUUCAGAGAGAUGAGAUCUGCGGUUUUAAUCCACUCCAUUGCAGCUUCAAGGAGAUAGGAAUACUGGCUUCAACGUACUCCACUGUAACCUCAGGGAGGUAAAAUCCACCAUCUUUGAUCUGCUCCACUACUGCUUAGGGAGAUAAGAUCUGUAAUCUUUAAUCUAUUCCACUGUUGCCCAGGGAGAUAGAAUUACUGGCUUCAAUGUACUCCACUGCAACCUCAGGGAGGUAAAAUCCACCAUCUUUGAUCUGCUCCACUACUGUUUAGGGAGAUAAGAUCUGUAAUCUUUAAUCUAUUCCACUGUUGCCCAGGGAGAUAGAAUUACUGGCUUCAAUGUCUCCACUGCAACCUCAGGGAGAUAAAAUCAGCCAUCUUCGAUCUGCUUCGCUGUUUAUGUAGGAAGGCAAGAUCUUCUAUAUUUGAUCUACUUGACGCCAGUACAUGAAGACAAGAUCUAUUUUCUUCGAUCUACUUCGCCACCAGUACGGGAAGAUAAGAUCUGGUAUCUUUGAUCUACUUCACGCCAGUAUAUGAAGACAAGAUCUGCUUUUUCAAUCGAUUCCACUGCCGACCGGGGAGGUAGAAUUACUGGCUUCAACAUACUCCACUGCAACUUCAGGGAGGUAAAAUCCGCCAUCUUCGAUCUGCUCCACUACUGCUUAGGGAGGCAAAAUCUGUAAUUUUCAAUCUACUUUGCCGCCGGUAUGGGAAGAUGUAUAUUCGAUCCACUUCGCUACCAAUAUAGGAAGACAGGACCUACUAUCUUUGAUCUACUUCACGCCAGUACAUGAAGACACGAUCUGUUUUCUUCGACCUACUCCAUCACCAGUAUGGGGGGACAAGAUCUGUUUCUUUGAUCUACUUCACGCCAAUACAUGAAGACAAGAUCUACUUUCAUUGAUCUACUCCACCACCAGUAUGGGGAGACAAGGUCUGUUGACUUUGAUCUACUUCACGCCGAUACAUGAAGGCAAGAUCUGCUUUCUUUGAUCUACUCCACCACCAGUAUGGGGAGACAAGAUCUGUUGACUUUGAUCUACUUCACGCUGAUACAUGAAGACAAUAUCUACUUUCUUUCGAUCUGCUUCGCCACUAGUAUGGGAAGGCGAGAUCUGUAUAUUCGAUCUAUUUCACGCUAGUACAUGAAGACAAGAUCUGUAUUCCUUCGAUCUGCUUCGCCACCAGUAUGGGAAGGCGAGAUCUGUUAUCUUUGAUCUACUUCACGCCAGUACAUGAAGACAAGAUCUGCUUUUUCCUUCGAUCUGCUUCGCCACCAGUAUGGGAAGGCGAGAUUUGUAUAUUCGAUCCACUUCGCUACCAAUAUAGGAAGACAAGACCUGCUGCUUCUCAAAACCUGCUCAACUGUUGUUCAGGGAGAUAAGGCUUUAUGAUUUCACCAAUCUGUUCUCUGGGGAACAUGACCUGUAUAAUUCACUUUAUGAACCUAACUAUGCCUAAUGAUUAAGAUGUCAUGAUCAAAUGAAUCAAAUGCUCCUAACUAGGCGUGUAUGAAUGACAUUUGAAUGAAUGCAGAAUGUCAUUUUUUCGAGAAUGAUCCCUCAUUUUCACUUAGGUUAUCAUUACUCAAAGUUUAUUUAAAGUUUCAUCGCUAAUGUGCUAGAGCACCCUCUUGCUCAGCUGGCGUCUCGAAAGAAACACUUGACCAGAUUGCCCCUCACUGUAAACCUCCAAGUUUGAUCCAUUGGGAUGCAAAAUUUAUACCAUCUUUCUCCCGUUGUCACCCAAGAGUAAAAAGAUUUGGUCUUUUCUCAAUCCUCUACUAUCACAAUUCAAGGAUACAGGAUAUGAAACUCUUUGGUCCCUUACACCAUUCCCAGGGUGUCAUACUAAAUUCUCAUGCACAAAUGAAGAAUGUUCCUCUCCAAGAACAACUUCUUCUUAUUAUUCGGUGAUCAUUGCCUGCUUGUUCAUUGAAGCCUUGUCACCAACAUGACACAUUGCCAUUUUGUCCAAUCGAUGUUUUAGGCAACAAAAUUUAAAGGGAUAGUCUGAAUUUAGACUUUUCCUUAUUAGAUUUCCAACCUGGUGCGUUCUAAACAAUAGUCCUGUUUCAGGUUCCUGUAUUAUUUAGAAACUUCUAGAGUAAUAUGCAAAACUUCCCUUGUGAAAGUUUUAUUAGUCUGUUAACCAUUAUUCUAAUGCAACAUGCUUGCAAAAAGAUCAUGGAUAAGAAUAGAGUUGGCUCUGAGCAUAGCUCGAAAUGAAUAAAUUAUCAAGGAUAAUAAAGAUGGAUAACAAGGAAAUUGAUUUAGGAAUGCAUAUCUUGGAAAUAAAUGAAGUGUUCCAAGAAUAACAAAAAUAGUAUAAGGAUUAGGUGCCCUAGAUAUCGCAGCCUGAACUUCUCUGUACAGACUUUCUGAAGACCAUUCUGACUUUAACAUGUGUUUAGGAGAUCUACAGUACUUUGUCGAUGCCCCCAAAAUGUCGCCUACCCUUUCCUGUUGAUUCAGGUAUAGCAAAACCACUGCAUGCCCCGCUCUGAUCAGUAUAUGAGCUGCUCUGAUUACUUUAUGCCCCAUUCUGAUCAAUAUUUGAGCCGCCCUUUUCGGGUUUUCAACUUAAAUCCCCUUUGGUCUAAAGCGCCCUUUGCAAGUUUUCACCUUAGCCUCUCCAUUUUUUUUACUCAAGGCUCCCUUUGUAGGGUUUCACCCUGGUCUCUUUUUUUUUUACUCAAAGCGCCCUUUGUAGGCUUUCACCUUGGUCCCACCUUUUUUAAGCAGAGUAUUUCCUGACUGAAUCUAAGUUUACAGGACUUUGUAAAUUUUUACCAUCCAUCUCACUCAAGAUCAAAGCUUCUCCAGAAAAGGCUUUCUUUAUAACAUAUGAACCCUUCUAAUUUGGCCUCUAUCUUCCUCUAAAAUCCUUUUGUAUAGGAAGGAUCUUUUUCAACACUAGUUCCCUCUUGUGAAAUUCUUUGGGACGAACCUUCGGGUCUUCCUCUUAGGAUAAAAUGUAGAGAAAUGACAAUUCGACUUCAAUGAGUAAAGCUAUGAUAAGCCAAAGAGGAGGAUAUUGCCCCAGCAAAGAAAGUUUACUGCAUCGUUCAUAGCAUCGAUGUUGAACCUACUGCCCAUUUCUAACAUCAUGUUGUUAUUCAGAUUACAAGCUAGUGCUUAACCCGAGCAUAUCUGGGUAUGACCAUGUGAAGACAUCAUUGAAUUCUUGGGGUAGCUCUAUAAGGUCCCGCCUCAUCUUUGUGAUCAUGUCAAUUCACCAAGCUCACAAUUUCUGAUAAUUCAUCGCGAUGUAGGAUCUGUCUAUCCUCUUAUUCUAUCACCCUCCUCAAGUCUGGAGAUAAGCUACAAUCUAUGUCAUCUUCAAAGUCAUGAGAUCCCUCUAAACACAUGUCUCACUCAAAAGGAAUUUUUGAGUCUGUAGCAGCGUCACUCAUGACAUUGAUAUCUGGGGACCCAUAGUAGGUAUCCGAGAAUAUACAAAAGAAUGUAUGAAUAAUAUGAAUGAAUGGUUUGGCAGAGAAAAAAAAUCCAAAAAAAAAUGAAAAAACGUAAAGAAUGAAAGAACAUUUGCUCAAAGAUUAUUGCAAUAAUGUAUUUCAUUAAAAUAAUAAUGUUCAGACGUGAGCCUAUUUCAUAAAGAAAACCUUAUUGCUUCUAGGCUGAAAGCAACAAGUGUGUUCUGAACAUUACUCUAACAGACUUUAAAUACUUCAGGGGUUUCCUCCGCAGUCUCAUUAUUUAGAACACCUCUAAGGCAAAUAUCUAACAAGGACCCUUUAAAUUGUGUCUGCAUAUAUGGCAUCGAUGUGCAAAUUUCUCACCACUUUUUCAUACAUUGCAGUCCCUCUAUCCUCAAUCAUGAUUGGGUAGCAGAUUUCCUGCGCUAGACGAGUCACCAAACUUGAUAAUACCCAUGUUGAUAAGUCUUUCAACUUGCUUCUUGAAGGCGGUGCAAUUCUCAAUCGAGUGUCCCGUAAUUCUCGCGUGGUAGUCACAUUGUGUGUUCGCAUCAUACCAUUCGGGAUACGGAGGUUGUAGAGGCUUCACAUGAAAAGGGGAAACAACAUGUGCAUCAAACAAAUUUUGAUACAGUUCCUUAUACGGUACUGGGAUUGGUGUAAACUAGAACUUUUCAGUCUUUAUGCCGGAAUCUUACCUCGAAGAAUUUUGUUGAUUACCAACCACCUUUCUUGGCUGAACAGUAACUGAUUUAGAGUAACCCGUGUUGUUCACCUCAUUUUCUCUUCUUUUUGAGACUGACCUCUUGUUACUCUCCUAUAUAUUAAUUUUCCCACUUCUUAUCACAUUUUCGAUCAUUUCACCAUUCAUAAUUAUGUCAGAAAAGCUUUUUGUAGCAUUUCCUAACAUAUGCGUAAUGAAUGGGGCUUUCAGUGUGUUAAUAAAUAGCAUGGUCAUUUCUUUCUCCAAGAGCGGUGGCUGGACUUGGAUUGCGACUUCCCUCCAUCUUUGUGCAUAUUGCCUGAAGCUUUCACUCGGCUUCUUCUUCAUAUUUUGAAGGGUGAUUCUAUUAGGAGCCAUGUCUGUCACAUGACUAUAUUGUUUCAUGAAUGCUUGCGCCAAGUCUCUCCAUGAACCAAUCGUGGCACGACUCAACUGAUUGUACCACUUGGAUGCUGCCCCUGCAAGGCUGUCUUGGAAGCAAUGUAUUAAUAGCUGGUCAUUAUUAACGUAUCCAGCCAUUCGCCUGCAGAACAUGGUGAUAUGAGUCUCUGGGCAAGUCGUCCCAUUGUACUUCUCGAAUUCAGGCAUCUUAAAUUUAUGAGGAAGUACAAGGUCUGGCACUAAACUCAGCUCUUUUGCGUCAAUGCCUCGAUAACUUUCAGUGACUUCCAUCGCCUUGAACUUCUCCUCGAGCCACUUACAUCUCUCUUCUAACUGUCUCGGCAACUCCUCCUUCACUCUUUCCUUCUCAACCACUUCAUCAAAGUCAGGAACGGUAGAGUUAAUAGGAUUAUUUUCGGGAUUAAAACCUGGCCCAGUUUGAAGGUUCGAAAUACCAGCUCGAAAUUGCUGAGGCAUGAUGGUGACAGUAGAUUUACACGGGUGUUCAGCUUGUGCUCGCUCAUGUGGAGGGGUGAAACCUGGAGGAUAGAAAAGUUCAUUAUCAUUUCCCUCAUCGACAUCUGCCAUGGGGCCCUUUCCUUUGUCACCUCCCUUAGUUAUCAGUUGGGUUAACUUUGCCACUAUAUCUUCUUGGGAUUCUCGCAUCUUCUCAGACAUCUCUUGUUUCAUCUUGUCUAACCGCUCCUGCAUUUGUAGCUGAAGCCGGUCUUGCAUAUCAUUUUGGUACUAUUCGAGCUUCUCUAAUCUCUAAUCCAUAUCUUUUAUCUUUGCUCAAGUGCCAUAUCGGUGUUGGUUUUCCGAUUUAACUGAAAUAAUUUUACUCAAUUAGGCUCUUUCAAUAGAUUUUAAUGCAUAUGAUACUAUGUAAUGCAAAUGCAUGGGAUGAAUGCAAAAAGAGACGUUGAUUCUGAUUCAAUUCCAUUUAGAAAACUUUUCUAGAAGAUAAAUUUCUUUACAUAAAGCAGAGAUAUAUAUACGGCUUUGCCCUCAUACUCCAAGCGAGGACAUCUUCUCCUUCUUCAUCUGGAUGCUAAGAUAAAUCUUGCAAAUUCUUCAAAAGGGGUUAUCUCCUCUACCUCUUUUUUACUUGAUCCUGGUUAUAAUCCAACGUCUGCCCAUCCCCGUAAUGCUCCUCAACUUCUUUAAGAUAGUUGGAAUGUCAGAAACUCUUGAAUAAUUGGCUUGACCUUGAGGCACGAAGUAAAGUUAUGUGUUCCUCCAUCACCCUUCUCCUAUCACGUUUUCUUGGACCUUAUUCGGACGACCAUAUUGUCAUCCACUUUAUCAAGAAACCCAUUUUCGUAUGACAAGCUCUCUAUUUAGUAAUCGAACUCGAAUCAACAUCUCUUUUCUAAGAUGCAAAUGUAAUGCAAUCAUGAUGUCAUGUAAUCAAAACAAAAUAAACCUAAGUCAGUAUCCCACCAAAAAGAUAUAAUCCAAUACAAACAUGAAAUAGCCAGAACAUUUAUUCAAGAAUCCUCUAAGGUUUGGUAUAGCUCUACCUAGGGCAAGUUCUUAAAGCUCACUAUAUGAGGUUUAGUUUCUAGAGUAAGGGUACCCGAACCAGCAGAUUCCUCGAUCCUCACCCAUUAUAGGCUCAUAUGGACCGAGUUCAGUUCAGGGGAAUACAUUUCCCUAUGGCUGCACGGAGAUGAAAAUCUCACGAGAACAUAGGUACGGAUGUAUCCCGGAAGCGGUCCACUACCCUGCACGGAGGUGAAAACCUCACGAAGGACUAGUUUCUCGCUCCCACUUAAAGGGUAAAACUGACCAUGUAAAAUGCCAAUGCAAAGUUGCCAAAAUACCAUGAUAAAACAUCAAUGAGUGCGAAGGGUACUCAUGAAAUUUUUUAAAAACUUUUGAUUUUUGACACAAAGACAAAUAUAAUCAGUUUAUGGCUCGACUCUCUAAAGUCCCCAGCAGAGUCGCCAAGCUGUCGAAACCGUUUUUUUUUAAAACAAAAAUUUUAGUUUCGACUUAAAAAUAAAAACUGGAGUCGCCACCGAUCCUUGAUUGGGGUGUGAUCGGCUCACCUUAAAAACAAUUUUGGUCUGCGAAAUUUGAGAAAACAGGUUCGGGAGUCAGUUACGCACGAGGAAGUAUUAGCACCCUCGUAACGCCCAAAAUUGGUACCAAAUUGAUUUUUUUUAAUGCCUUUGUGUCGAAAAUUUGAAAAAAAAUUUAAAAGGAAACUUUUUAUUUCAUGAAAAAAUGAUAAGACAUUCUUAUUUCAAAGAAAUAAAACACCACACCCAGUGAGUUAGGGCACAAUGUCUUUAAAUCUUCAAAAUACUCGAAUAUUGCCUCUUGCUUUUGAAAAUUCUUAUUUCGAGAAGAAAAUGUCAUGACCAGUAAGUUAGGACCCAACAUUUUGAAUUCCCGAGAAUAAGCUUUUAUUUAAAAUUUGCGAAUUUAUUGCAAAACAAAUACUUGGCUUUCUAAAUUCAUCGAAAAAUAAUCGCAAUCCAGUAAGUUAGGACACAAUCUUUCCCGAGAAUCAUGAAUGCCAAAUAUUUUGGAAAUUUGUAAAAAUAUGAUUUUAAUACUUUGAUAAAACCCAAAAUAUAUUUCCCGAAAGGUAUGUUAAAAGUUAAUGUAUAAUAUGAAACACAACUUUAAUUUCAAACAUAUAUGAAUAAAUAUUUACAAAUAUAUAUACAAGUAGGUAUAAUAUACAACUAAAUUUACAAGCAUGUGUACGCAUACAUUCAACAUGUAAAUAUAAGUGUACAUAUAAAAAGACGGAAUGAAAUAUAUCAAUCAAAAUUUAAUAAAAAUGCAUGUAUGUAUUUGAAAAUCGUGAAAAUAACAUAAAAAUAUAAAAAUAUGUACAUAUGUAUAUAUCUACAAAAAAAUGUAUAAGUAUAUAUGUAUUGGUAAAUCAUGAAAAUAUGUGUGUAUUUAAAAGAUUAUAUAUGUACAAUAUGUAUAAAAUAAUAGAAUAGAUAGAACAAAAUGUUUAUAAUAAUUUAAGAAUAUAUAUAGAAUAUAUGUACCACAGAAAAUGAAUAUAUAUUUUAAAUUACAAAAUAUGAGAAAUAUAUGUGUAUUUUGAAAGGUGUAUAUGUAUAUAUAAGGUAUAAAGUAUAAAGUAUAUAAAAGUUUAAAAUAAUAAUAAAAAAGCUAGAAAAACAUGUGAAUAAAACAUAUGCACGAAUUUAUAAAAACUUAAACUGGAUAUAUAUAUAUGUAUUAAAAAUAUGCAUAUUAUAUAUGGAAAAUAUGUGUAUGUGCUAUAUGAAAAAGGCAUGUGUAUAAAUAUGGCAGUAAUAAUAAUAAUAAUGCUAAUAAAUGAAAUAACAGUAGUAAUAGACGGUGGCUAAAUCAAAAUUAAACAAUAAUUUUAGGGUCAAAAUCUAAAAAGGGACUAAAUCAAAUUGAACACGAAAGGGGAAGGACCAAAGAAACAAAUAUCCCCGCUGCAAUAGAAAACGCGGGUUUAGUCGGGUUCUGGGUCGGGUCACACGGGUUAUUGGGUUACAUUAAAACGGGGCCGUUUUUCAAACCAGAUAAAAUCCCCUUUUUCAAACCCUAAAUGAACACCCUAUUCAAUUUGCAACCACAAUAGCUGCAAGGUCCAAGCCCCCUCCUGCUCCUCACGCCGAAGUCAGCAAGAAUGCCGACGGCGCGCCUCUGCCGGUAAGAAACUUCUCCUUUUCCCUCGUUCUUUCAUUUAUUUGUUUUUAAAAACAAGGAAGAAAAUAAAAAGGGUACAAAACAGUAAAGAGAAAGGAAAAACGGAACCAAUCUCAAUACCUUCAAAACUUUUUUUUAUUCUCUGUUUUUGCUUUCUUCAAUCUUUUGAUACAAAGAAUUUUUUCUCUCUUUUCGUCUGUAUCAUUUUUUACACUGAAAAAAUCCCCCACUUUACAGAUUAAAAUCGGCCUUAUAUAGCUGAUUAAUACCAAAAAUCCAAAAAGAAAAAAUAAAAAACCCACUUAUUUUCCGUUAUUUGCUGCGCUUGUGUGCCUCUAUUUUUGCAGGUUUGGUGGUGAAGAGGGCGCAUAUACGUGGAGGCACAAAUCGCGCGGAAGGGACCCUGGCUCCGAGUCGAGCGGUGACGGGGGUUGCUGGGAGCAGAAACGCGCAAAAAGAGGGUGACAGUUGCGGCGGCUACUAGGGUUUUUGACUUUUGAUUUGGGUAAAAAUUUGUUAAAUUUUGGGCUUGUUGGGCUGUUGGUGUUUUGGGCUUGUAAUUAGGGUUAAUAUUUGGGCUAUUGGAUUGGGACUUUGGUUUGUACGGGCCCGGGUAAAUUGGGCUUAUUACAUUCAAUCUUAUGAUACUUUCAAGUAGGUCUCCCUAAUUUGGUAAGAAUUCUGUUUUUCUUUUCAAGCUUCAUUGAUUAAUCUCUAGAAAAUUAGGAUUGUAGUUUUUUUUUUUGUGAUCGAUUAGUAUUUUUAUGCAAUAUUUAGUUUUUUAUUUAUUAAAUGAUUUUGAGAUAUUAAUUUUGUACGAGAUUCCUAACAUAGUGAUUGACUAAUAAUUUAUAAAGGUUGAUUAAUACAAAUCCUUGAAGAAAUUAGGAUUGAUUGUAUUUAUAAUCUUGAAGUUCUUGAAUAUUGAUUAGAAAUUUAAUAUUUUUACUUAGAAAUUAUUGUUACUAGUGUGAUUAUUGUGAAUCUUGUGUUUAAAAUUUUGAUGUAUUGCAUUCUCGUGACAACAAUAAGCAUUUAAGUGAUUUUUAUUUUUGUAAAAGAAAAUUACUAGUUGUAUAUUGACUUCGCGAACACCUUUAUGUGUUUAAGACUUAAAUUUAUUUGUUCUAAAUAUUUAAUAGGAAUGGAAAAAUAUUUUAAAAGGAAAUCUAGUAAAGUGGAGGAAGAACAACAAGAAAAAAAAUAUUAUAUAUAAAUUUAUAUAAAUUUUAUAAACAUUUUAAUUUAAAAAAAGUUGAGCCCACAAUCCAAAUUUCUUGUCUUUGCUCCUGCCUAACAUCUUAAUUGAGUAAUAAUUUUUAGAAGUUGAUUAAUACAAAUCUUUGAAGAAGUUAGGAUAGAUCGCAUUUUUAAUCUUCAAUUUCUUGAAUUAUUGAUUAUAAAUUCUUUUUUUAGUUUAAAAUUUAUUGUUUCUAGCGUGAAUCUUGUAUUUAUGUUCAGCUUCUGUUUGAAUUGUAUUUCCAUGACACCAAAAAGCACUUAAAAAAUUUUUAUUUUUGUGAAAGAAAAUUACUAGUAUGGCUUCAUGAAAACAAUUUAUAAAUAUUGAAUUUAUUUUUGUGUUGUGCCUCAAUUUAUCUUAUAUUUUGUAUAAUUUUUCAUAGCAAUUCUAUUUUCUAAGUUGUUAUUUGAUGAAUGGAAAAUAAUUACAUAUUGAACUUUUAGCAUAGAAUUUUAUAAAUAUUGAGUUUAUAUUGUAAAAUUAUUUGGUAUCACUACACCAAAACAGGUUUUAGCAGCGUUUUUAGGCCUAGCGCCGCUAAAAGUAUUUGCGGCGCUUUUGAAAGCGCCGUAAAAAAUGCCGCUGAUGUCAAUGCCGUUAACGUUUGCAGCAUUUAUUGAAAUAAACGCCGCUAAAGGUCAUGUUCUUUAGUCGCUUUUCCUUAAAACGCCGCUAAAGGCCAUGUUCUUUAGCGACGCCUUUCCCACAAACGCCGCUAAAGGCCAUGUUCUUUAGCGGCGCUUUUCCCACAAACGCCGCUAAAUGCCAUGUUCUUUAGCUGCGCUUUUCCCACAAAUGCCGCUAAAGAUCAUGUUCUUUAGCGGCGCUUUUCUCGCAAAUGCCGUUGUAAUAGGCCUAUUUUGACCAGGCCCAAAACAUACCCAAAUCCAAAUAAAUAAAAUCAAACAAAACCAAAUUAAAAGUCUAUCAAUCCAAUUACAAUGGGCCAAAUUCAGAUUGAAGCCCAAAUACCAGACCCGAUUACAAACCCAAUAUCCAGAAAACCCAAUCAGCCCAAGCCACCUAACCCUAGCCCAACACAAAAACAAAUCAGAAAACCCUAGCAUCAUAGCUUCCAGCGCUGCAGCCACCAGGGUUCUCCCUCAGCCUCACCCGUGCCUCCGUACGCAUCACGUCUACCCUCCGUACGGCCGUACCUGCGUAGCAUACAAACAAACAACAAGAGAAGUGUAGAAAAAAGAAAUAACAUAAAAAGAAAAAGAAAAUAAGUUUGUAUUUUUUUUCAUUUUUGCUUUUCUUUCGGGGGCUAUAAAAAAGCCUUUCAAAAACUUGUAAUGGACACGCAAGAUCAAUACAAAGAAAUAAUACAAAAAACAGAAAAUCAAAAAGUUUUGAAGGUGAUUUUUUUAUUCGAUUUUCGUUACUGUUCCCUUUUUUUUAAAUCGUGUAUAUAAAAAAGGGGGGUGAAAGAGGAGAUCUUACCUGGAGACGCCCUUGGAUCCACGCGAAAAGGAGCCGAAAAGCCCUUGGUGGUGAGGCUCCGACCACCGUUCACGGUGGAAUUGCGGCGGAGGAACGGUGUAAAAAGCUAGGGCCGAAACCCUAGCAGAGAAAUAGAAGCAGCCCUUUUUUACUUUUCUUUUUUUGGGGCAGAUGUUGCUUAUGUUUUUUUAAUGAAAUUUUUUGUUUAAGUAGCAACGCAAUACGGUGUCGUUUGAUAGCCCUCGACCCGCGCAGUGACCCGACCCGAGGGAAGGAUCCGCGCGUUUUGGGUCUGAUGGCCUAUUUGCGCAAUUGGUCCCUCUGAUCUUGCAGGAUUUUUAAAUCGAUCUUUUUUAUUUUUUAAUAUUUGCCCCACAUUUUCGAUAUUGUUCCAUUUUGGCCUAUACUGCUACAAUGCGUUUUGAGGAAUAUGGAAUAUUGCUUAUUUAGACCCCUAUGAAAUACGCACAUUUGAUUUUGGUUUUUUUAAUUUCAUUUUAAUUUUUGUUUUUCCUUAUGAUUUUGGUUUUGAAUCCAAUUUAAUCCAUAAUUCAAUUUAUUCAUUUUCUAAAAUUUUAUCUUGAUUUUGUUGUCUUUAGUAUAUAUUUAUUUAUAAACCUAGCAUUAUUUGAAUAUUUAAGUUUUAAUAUUGUUUUAAAAUUUAUUAUUAGAAUUAUUUAAAAUAUAAUAUACUAUUAUUUUAAACUAAUAUUAUCUAAACGUACCAUACAUAGUUAUUUUAAUUUGUUAUAUAUUAUAACUUUAUUAUUUGACCAUGUGAAUUCGACUUUGCUUACAUUCAAUUCAAUCAAUCCAGAAUAGUGAAUCCAACCUUCUAAGUUGAAGUUUUUUCCAAUGAUGAAAGGUACUAUGUCACAUGAGGAAGUUUUUCCAAAAACCAAAAAUAUAAGAGUGGUGAAGAGGUGGCAUGGUGCUACCUUGGAGAUUUCGUAAAAUGGAUGACUUGGCUUAGCAUUAUAAGUUAAGUGAUACUAACUCAAUUAGUAGCAAUGGUUUUUCGGUAUCAUUCUUACUUUGCUCAUUUUGGAAAUUUUGAGAAUUGACAUUUAUUUAUUUUUCUAGUUGCAUCCUAUUUUUUUAAGGUGAGAUAAAUAUCCAAUUUUUUGUGUCUUUUAAGGAUAUUUUUUACUUAGUAUUCUCCAAUUUUGUAAUCUCGUUUUGGAUCUUUAUAUCAAUAAAUUUUUAUUGACUUAACAAAACAAAUUCAAUUGAUAAAUUUGUUAGAUCUGGCGCAUUAAGUGUAGUAUAUUUAUUUUGUAUACUUGUAUUUUUUUAAACAAGCUGGUUUAAUAAAAAUAUUCAUUAAUUACAUUAAUACCCUUUGUAUAUUUUUCGUGAUGUUUUUGCACACAAAGCAAAAUGGAAGCAAAUAUUAGCUCAUUGGUUAUUUAGUGUUUAACUAAUACUAAGCGACAUUAUGUGGACAGAUUGAAAUAUGAAAAUAUAACUUGUAUUAGUAGAUGAACCUAAACAUGUCCUUAGUCUAAUCGAAAAUGAGCAAAUUGAUUGAAAGACUAAUAUGCUGUCUAUCAAGUCCAAUUAGGGAUAUGCUUGGUCUUGAGCAUCAAAGUGGAUGACUACCAGAAGAUAGAGAUAUUGAUAUAGCCGACUGGACUGAUAGUACAUCAAACAGAACCCAAGUAGAAUAGAUCCUAGAUCCGUUUAUGGAUUUGUUCACUUGUAACAUUCAUAGUGUGAGAUAACUUAAUCCUGAGUGGAUGAUGUAUUAUGCAUACGUGACUUGUAUACUUUGAUGUAAGUAAAAGCCUAAGUUCAAAUAGAUAAAGAACUGAAAAAUGAUGCGUUGGGUAUACGACUUCUGUAGUAUGUAGCAUCACUCACAAUAGUGGAACUCAUAGCCCAACUAAUGCGUAAAUGAUAUCCUCUCAUCGACAUUACAUGAUAGAUGAAAAGAAAACAUGGUGACGAGUUGUUUGUCUUUGUGAUAAAUGACUUGAUUACUAUUUUAUAAUAAUUGAUUUUUUAUGAAGGAAGAUGUAAUGAUUACCAUGAGACAAAAUAGGGUGAUAUUGGAAGAAUAAAUUUGUCCCAAAGUGAUUAAGGAUAUCUUAUGAAGGUAAUACACUUAUGACAAGGUCAUUGAAUGAGCACUGAUUGAGUAGCUUUCGUAAUGGUAUGUAAUUAGGGAGAGCUCAAUCAUGAUACUAUAGUGGAAUGACUUCGUGACUAAAUAAGUUUAUAAUUAAUAGGUGAAAAAUUGGAACUUAAUUAUAAAUUAUUUGAGCCCUAAUUAUAUAUGUUUAAUCGGUCCCUCCACUAACUCGUUGAAAUCAUAAAUAAAUUGUAUGUAGAACCAAAUGGACAUAAAUGACUGAAAAUGAUUAAGUUAGAGAAAUAGACCGCAUUCACAAAUGAAUGUGUUUUUUCACUAAGUAAAGAAAUGACUUGAGAAUUAAUUUAAGAUUUUCGAAUUAUUAUUUAAGUAAAUAUAAUUAAAUAAUUGAAGUUCAAAAAUAGAAUUAAAUUAAUUAGUCAUUAUGAAUCCAUUGAAUAUAGAAAUUAAAUAUAUUUCCUCAUAGGUUCUUUUAUGGUAAAGUUGUCAUGAGUUUAGCGAAAUUAGAAUGGGGUUGACAAAAUUAUUUAAUUUGGAAAUUAAUGUAUUUAGUUUGAUUAACUAAAAACAAAUAUUGGGUUGAAUUAAAUUAUAAAGUGCUGUGUCAAAAGUUCAGGAAGCACAUAUUGUCACAUCUUAAAAACCGGGUUAGAAGAAUUGGGAUUGUGAAAUUAUGUUAAGUGAGUUAACCUGGUUCAGUGGAUAGGUGUUGUGCUUACAUGUGUGAGGUUCUAGAUUUGAGCUCUUCCUUUGAAAUUUUGUUCAUUUGUAGCUCAAUUAUUAUCUCCAGUUUUUUGACUUAAAUAUUAUUUCCGCUCAACUGAUGACAAGAAUGAACCUGCUAGUUUAGUGGUAAGUUGUCAGUUUACCCUUUGGUCUUGUGAAAAUUAUUUUUGAUUCAAAUUAUAUAAAAAAAUCUGAUGGUUAGAAUUGGGAUUAAAAUAAGUGAUUUUUAUUUUCUAAAUUAUCAGAUUCCUAUUUUCCCUCAUACAAUAACAGCCCACUAUUUCCUCACGCCUUUCAGGUUUUGUUUUUCCUCUGUUCUUAUUUUCUUCUUUACUUUUGGGUUUUCUUUCAUUCUUUUUUUGUUUGAUUUUGGUUGCUGCCAUUGGUUCUUCGUGGGAGGCACAUUGGCUCUCUAUUUUCACUCAUAUUUCACUAAAAAUUGUAAGUUUCAUUGAUUAUUUUUCUAUUAUGAAUAACUUUAAUUCGUUCGUUGUGCAAGAUUGAGUUUUGUAUUAGUUUUCAUCCUACAUCAUGUUAAGUGUUUUCCUGGUUUUCUUAGUAGGCGAAAAGGGUGUGAGUCUAAAUCUUCCAGCGGAUUGAUCAUCGUUUUGGUCGCUGUUUCUAUAGUGUGGGUUUUUUAAAUUUCUUUUCGGGACUAUUAUCUUAGAGAGAAGAAUGUGUUUUGGGUCGAAUUUUACAUUAAAUCAAAGUUGUAAUCGGUGUGUUUUGAUGUCAAUUGUAGGAUUCAAAAUGUAAGAUUAUGUGGUUGAUCAAUCUUACUGUCAGGUGUGUGAUUCUAACCCGAUUUAUCACUCAAAACUUGAGAAAUUCACAAAACAGUGGAUGUUUUUGAAACUGCCUAAUGCCACACAGCCAUGUGCUAGGUCGUGUGGUUGACCGUGUGCGACACAGCUUCAUGUGUCAGGAAGUGUGGAGCAUACAACCAUGUGUGUUUUUAUAUGUCGUUUGGGGCACACAACCGUGUUAAACCAUGCAGGCCAUAUGGGGCACACGGCUAUGUGAAAUCAUGUAGGCAGUGUAAACCACACGGGCUAAGUUUUUGGGUCAAUUUUAGGGCUCGAUUAGGGCUCAAUGAAGAGACCCAAAAAAGUGAAAUUUUCAAUGAACAAACAUAGGUAAGUGUAAGAGGUAUGUUAAAUAAGUUCUGAUAAGUAUAAUAAUGCGAUACGAUCUGCUUUAAGUAGGUACGUGAGUUAAGUAUGACUAUUUUGUAAAUCAAGUGUGUUGCACACAUUCUGGUAUCUAUUCUAAUAAGCAAUCCGAUUUGACCAUGUAAUAUGAUAUGCUAUGAUCUGCAUAAGUUAUGUCUAAAUUACGUUUUGAAUUAUAUUUGUUUAUGUAUGCGUGCAUACAACUUAUGUGAUAUGUAUGUAUGUUAACGUGAUUUUGCAUAUGCAUUGUGGUGGGUUCAAAUUUGGUGGAGAAAGUGUUUGCUAGCAGUAUUACUGUAUUUUCGGCGGUUAAACCACAAUAUAUGUUUGGCAGCUCAACUGUACUAUUAUGAGUGACAUACCACCACGAUCCGGUGUGAUUGGAUGGAUGGACUCUUGAAGUCUUAAUUGGUGUGUAGUGGAUGGGGGUAGGAUCUGUGUCUGCAUUUGUUCUGGUUUGGUAUGACAUAUGUGCAAUUGAAAACAUGAUAUUCUAGUUUGAUAUAUGUAUAUGAAAUUAAGAUAUUUUGAACCAAAAUAUGUUCCGGUUAUGUGAUAUUAUGAUCUAAAAUAUAUAUAUGUUUAUAGUACUACAAAAUUCUGAUGCGUUAUUGGUGCAUUAAAGUAAAAUUUUGUAAUCACAUUUACGUGUGCUUGUUAAAUAAAAUUAUGCUUAUGGGUUGAGACGCACUGGGCUCCUGAUUCAUUUGUUUGUUUAAUACGUUUCAAGUUAACUUCUGACUUAGGACCAGACGACGUGUGGGAGCUCAGAUUGUUUACCGGAUAAAAAAAUUGAGGGUUUAUGAUUUAAUUAGUUUUGGGCUAUAAUCCAUUGUUUUAGGCCUACUCUUGGUUUUUUUUAUUUGUCAUCAUUUAAUAGUUUCGAGCAUUAAACUGCAAAUCACACGAGCUAACAAAUUAGAUUUCGAUUUUCAAAUAACUAAAACUCUGAUAAUUUUCCGCUGCAAGGUUAAGUCACUUAAGUAUUUUUCGUAAGUAAAGUAUAUGGUUUUUAACGAAUGAUUGUUUUAAUACUAGAAACGAUCGGCCAAUGUUAGUACUUUCAAAAUGCGCGAUUUUGAAUAUGAAAUAUGAGUUUUAAAUUAGUGUUUUUUAACUUUGGUUUUUCUAAACAUCUAUGGGAGUUUUUGCCAAAAUUUUAUAUUUUCGAAACAUGCAUUGAGUUUGAUUUAUCAAAUAAACAUGCAUUGGUGCGAUUUUGUUCUUGUUUUUUGAUUAAGUGUCUACCUUUAUUCUUAGCUUGAAUAAUUAGGCAGUGGGGGUGGUUUUGUGUGUCGUAGUUGAGUGGUUUUCUAAAGACGAGGUUGGUGUUAAAUCCGAGGGUCGUACGGUGGAAUUAAUGUGGAUGUAGACACUACGUCAAUCAACAUUGUGGGAGUGUUUCGAGUUUCGGUGGUCUUCAUGAAUUAGUGAAGUUUGUCUUUUCCCCUGCGUACUAUUGUUUUUCUUUUUUUAAUUUUUCAUGUUUUUACGUGUUCUCCUAUAUGUACAACUUAAACUUAAGAAAAUAUAGAAAAUGGAAUUUGAACCUAAGCCAUCAAGCUUUAACUUUAUCUGUUCAACUCAACGCUCUUAUUAUCUUAUAUGAAUUUUUUACAUAAAUUAUUUUUUCCACACACAUAAGGUUCUACAUAUCUCUACUAACUUUAAACCCUUGAAUGAGUUGGUGUCACAAGUUAAUGAGUUCCAAUUCAGUUGGAGAAAUGACUAAAUUAUUCUUCCAUUGUCAAAUCCCAUCGGGUUAGAAGAAUCGGGUUUGUGAAAAUCGAGAAUGGUCACGUGCCGAUUUAUAAAGUUAUCUUUGUGCGUUUAUAAAUCAUGGAUUUAAAACGGAUAUCGAAAUUAGGGUCAUAAAUAAUUAAUUAAAGUAUUAAAAUAAUAUAAUAAUAUAAAAUUAUAUUAAUUAAUCUAAAACAAAACUUGAUUACGAGGUUUAAUUUGAAAAUAAUGUGUUUUAAUUGAGUUAGGGCCUAAUUGAAAGAUCAGUAAAAUGAAUUAAAAUAUUAAUAAUAAGACUUGACUAUGAGUAUUAAUUAUUGUAUAUAAACUAAAAUAGGAAUGUGUUAAAAACUAUAAAGUUAAAUAAGUUAAUAAGAAAAAAAAAUUGAGUAAAUGUGUAAACUAAUAAAGAAUAUGUAAGUUGAGCUCGAAAUAAAUAUAUACAAUUAAGUGACUAAAAUAAGUAAAAAUAAGAUAUAGAUUGAAUGGUUAAGUGUUAGUUUCCUACUUAGAGAGUUUAGGUUCAAACCCCUUACUCUUAUUUUUUUUCUUUUUUUUUUAAUUUUCAACAACUUACGAUAAAAACCACACUAAAAUAAAUAUACUAUUGGGGUAAAAUUUGAAUACGAAAUAGGUUUAGGCAUAAUGAUUAGCAUGCUAAAAUCCUUCUUAGAGAUCUUAGGUUUGAGUCCCUCUUUCCUUUUUUAUUUAUUAAUUUCACAAAAAAAUGCCUCAAAAACUUAUUAAUAUGAUUAAGCAUAAAAAAUAAACAAGAAAUGGGUAAUAGCCCAAUGAUUAAGGCAUUAGCCCACUUAAGUGAAUAAGGUUCGAGCCUCUCCUCCCCUUUAAUUUUAAUUUCAAAUUUUGACAAAAUCUUGGGAAAAUUUUAGGUGACGCCCCUAGGAAUUGACCCCAAUGCUUUCCUAAUUAGAAUUCAUAUCUUACCAUUUCUCAAAAUUUCAAUAGAAUUAAAAUUCUACCAUCUUUUUAUCUUCUUUUCCUAAUUAGAAUGUCAAUUUUCCUUUUUGAAAUCCUAAUAGAAUUUCCCUUCAUCCUUCUAUUUAUUCUCUUCUUCUUUUUUUCCUUUUUCUUUACACCAGAUUUUCAUCUUUUUUGCUAUUGAUUAUUUUGCUUUCCCGUAUUAAAACAUCCUCUAAUUCAGUCAUUCUUUCUAUCGGAUUUGUGACUGACGUCAAGAGAAUCUCUAUUCUUGCCAAGAAUCUGUACGUACAUAUUGUUUCCAAGGUUUAGAUCCUGAAUUUUCGUAAUAUUACUAUCUGACACUAAUCUUAUGUUCGAUUAAUCGAUCAUUUACGGUUCUUGCCGAAAUCUUCCAUUAAUCUUAAUUGAAUCUUGAUACCCAAUGUUAACACGUGUAUAAAUAUAGUUUGAAAGACCUGUUUCAGGUGCAUCGGGUCAAGUUUGAAUAGUGAGAAAUGUCGCUCGGGGUUUUGAUGAAAGGUGUGUGUUCUUUUACAAGUAAAUCAGGACAAACUGUGCCCAGGAUAAAGGCCACACGGUUUGCCACACGGGUGUGUGGACCACAUGACCCACCACACGACCAUGUGUCUCUGUUUUAUAGCUUUGCCUAAAAAUUUAUGUUAUGUUCAAUUUAGUCCCUACUUGAUCCCUGUAUUGUUCCUAGAAGUUUUUGUGCAUUUAAUUGAUCUUUGCAUUAGUGUUUAUACGAAAAUCCACAAUUUAUAUGCCUGAAUUCCUACUUUUAUUAUGUGUUUGUUGAUAUUGACUAACUGAAUCACCAUGGUGCUAUGAAUAAAUAUGUGAUAUUAAUCGUGCCUACUGUUAAAUGCUAUUGAUAAAUUGUGAGUGUUAACACUGUUAUCACUCUACUGAAUACAUAAUGAACAUGUUUAUUACUAGUGAUUGAACGAAAUAAGUGUUAAGCAUGCCUACGAAUUUUUGCAAAGUAUGUCAUAUUGCAUUGCAUGGGGCGAGAUGAUUUUUACGGAGGAAGAAUGGCAUUUUAAUAAUCUACAAACAAGUGGUGGCUUGUCCAUAAACCUAGUGGUAGUUCAUUUAAGCUGCAAACAUGUUAUGCACUCACAACAAGUGAUAGUAACUGCAAAUAUAUAGUUCGAUCACGAACCAAAUAGCAACUUAGCUACAAAUGUUUUUAUCUAAAAAUACUGGUGGUUUACCUACAAUUUUUACAAACCCAAUGGCAAUUUUUAUCUGCAAUUACAUUAUGUAUCCAUAACAAGUAGAAGUUCAUCUGCAAAUUAACAGUGGUUCAUCCACAAAUCUGAAGGAUAUGGUAGAUGAGUUUUGGGGAAUUCAUAAGUGAUGUGUGUAGCGGAGUUGGGUAGGACUUUUUUGAAUUUGAAAUUGCAUUGCCAUUCAUCAACAUGUGCAUAUAAUACCGUGUUUUCUGUGAUAGUGUAGUGAAGUGAUGAUAGGAUAAAUCAUUAUUCUAAAGUGAUUUAUGAUUAUGAUUAUUCUUAGAAUUGUUAACCAUGUGCUUUGCCUAUGGUUUCAUUUCAAUUUACUUGUGACCAAACUCACAUUGAGGUUCAUAGCUCAUUUCCCUUUUCCUUACAUCUUUAUAGAUAACCCACUAGGUUAAGAAGCAGAAUCGACAAAUCGGAGGGCUUGACUAGGAUUAAAGUUAUAUUAAUAUUUUUAUUUUUACCUAUAAUUAUUUAGAGUUCCUAAUAUUUAAGAAAUUGUAAUGUAUUACUUAAAUUGUGGCACGAGACUUAGGUUUUGGUUUUAUUUAGCAUGCAUGUCUUUUAAAUUGAUUUUAAAAAAAGUAAUUAUCGAUUAUAAUCAAAUAUGCAUGAAAUAUGAAUUUUAUUAAAACUAAGUAAAAAUCACUUUUCUACUGCCGGAUUCUAAUUAAACUCUGUGUAAUAAAUAAAUUAGGAAUUAACUAAGUUUUCAAUGGUAAUCACCAUUACAAGAUAUCUGUUAAACUUAAUCGGUUUUUAAUAACUCAUGAGUUUUUCAGAAAAUAGGCUAAGUUUUUCUUCUAAGAUAAAUAAACGUUUUAAAUUGAUUAUUUUAUAAACCCCGAUCAUUACUAGGUCAUUUCGGUGGCUGAUGUAAUCUCUCGAAUUCGGGCCUAACGUUUAGGCUGGAUUGGGGAGGUUACAUCCAUACUUAAAACAUGUUAUAUUAUUACGAGGUACUUUUUUUUUUCUUAUAUGAGUUAUUUCUUUUUAUAUUUCUAACAGAACCAAUAAAAAACUUACAUAUUGUGAGGUUUGAAACCAUGAAACCAUUAUUAAUAAAACCUGAACUUUAUCACUUCAGCCAAAGCUUCAAUCUAUUUUUUUAUAAAUAUUAAUAUUUUUACAAAAGGAAAAACUUUUUCACCCACAUAAUUUGUAUAUUAAUAAUGUUGGUGAUUGAGUUAGUGUAGUAAGUUAGUUCCACAUCAACUCAAAACUGAUGAGGGUUUUUUUUUCUAUAAGUUACCACUCUACCAACUUGAUAACAUUUGACAUUUUUAUAACAUGUUAAAUAAUACUUUCUAACAUGGUAGCCUUUUAAUGUGCCAUAGAAAAAAGAAAAAUACGAGCUAAAAAGUAGUGGGUUGUAUUUAAUAUUCUUACUCAUACAUAUUUUCUUAUUUAGAGUCCUUUUUACCCAUUGUUUAAAUUAAUUUGUUUUAUUUUAAUUUCAUAUGUUAUUAUUAGUUUUAAAUCAUAUAUUUUAUUUUUUAUUAGAUGUUAUUUUUAAGCCUAUAUUUAUAUUUUAACUAUGUAAUUUCUAUAUGUUAAUUUUGAUUGAACAUAUACUACUAAAACACAAAUUCAAUCCACUAAAAACCUAACUUUAAUUUGGUUUGAAAUAAGCUAAAUAAACCUUUGUUGGAUUAGAUUAAUAAAGAGAAAAAUGUAAAUAUUCCUUGUACAAUGAACAAAUAAAAAUACAUCUAAAGAUACAUUUUAUUUAACUUAAAAAAAAUCAUUUUAUAUUUUUGGAUAAAUUACUCUAUUUAUUAUUAAAUUAUAGAUAAAUUUUUAUUUUAUUUAUUUAACUAAUUUUUUUAAUUUGAUCACUAAAUUUUUUGAAACUUUUUUUUUGUCACUCGGCUAUUAAGUGGUACUUUUUUAAAUGGUAUAAUAAUUUUAGUCCUUAACUUUUAUAUUGUUUUUGUCAAUUUAAUCUUGGUUCUAUAUAAAAAAUAUAGAAGAACUAAGAAACUAUUUAAAAAUAAAAAUUUUUGUAUAAAAAUUCUAGAAAAACAAAAUCUUGAAAAUGUUGUUGAAUAUAUUUGGGAAACAAAAAAAAUUAUCAUUCAAUAGAAUCUAAUAAUAAAUUAAAAACAGAACAAAGCAAAGAAAAAAGUCAGAUCAUUAUAUGCUUCUUUAAUGUUUCUCGAAACUAAAUUAGUAAUAUCAUAAAGAACAUCCAAAACUAAUAUUUUAGAGGUUUAUGAAAUCGACUUUGAUGCCCUUUUUUUAGCAGAAAAUACAAAAUAUAUCAGAAAAUUUUAUUUUUCAGACUCAAUUCAUUUAAAUUAAUUUUCAAAACUCAAAUUGUAAAAAAAAAUUAUAUUCUAAAUUUUUUUUUUCUUAUAAUGAGAAAGCCAUGCCAAAAUACAAAGAACCAAAAAUUUUGCUUAAUAUUUUUACAUUUCUAUUUUUUUAAAAGAAUGGGUAUCAAAUAUUUCUAUACUAAUAAUAUAAAGAGAAAUUUUAGAGGGUUAAGAAAAAUACUUUUUCCUCACUUUUUCUGGCUUGAUCUAUUUUUAAAAAUUUUAUCUAUUUUUAUAUUAAUUUUAAUUUUUAAAUUUUUAUUAUUUUAUAUAUAAUCAAGAUCAAUCUAGUAGAAAGUAUAAAAGUGAUCAAAUUGAUAGAUAAUAUAAAAGCUGAUGAUUAAUAUUAUUAUUAUACCAAUUAAAAAGUACCACUUAACUAUGAAGUGACAAAAAAAUAUUUUAAAAAAUUUAAUGAUUAAAUUAUAAUUUUUUUAAUUAAUUGAUAAAAACAAAAAAUUAUUAUAAUUUAAUUGAGAAUUUGAUUUACAAUUUUCUGAAUCUUGGAUUUUGUAAAAGGGAGUGCAUGCAAGUAUAAAAAAAAUUGAUAUUACCUUUGUAUAAUACAUGUAAAAUCAUUUUGAAAAAAAAAAUUAAACAUUUUAGAUACAGCAACUAAAAUGGUGUCAUUUCAUCGAGUUGUUUGACAUUACUUUAUAUCCAAAUCAUCGCUUUGUAAAUGGGAAAAACACAUGAUAAGACAAAACAACUAAACUUACUUAAAAAGUCAAUUCCAUAAUAUGCUAAUCAUGAUUUGAUUUAAAGGCAACACAUAAUUGUUUGGGAAAUUUAGAACAAUAAAUAACAACCUUCUCUCUUUUACCAAAUUCAUAAUAUUGCAUUAUAUUGUUACCCAUAAAAUGUAAUUAUUGUAACUUUGGAUUUGAUAAAAAAUGUAUAAUUUUUUUAUUUGUUAUUAUCAAAUACAAGUUCAAUAAGACUUAUGUUAGAGUUCUGUGAUUUGAAUCUCGUUUGAUUCGGCCUGAAAAGUUCGAGGUGCAAUUCACUUGUUAAAGAAAUAAAAUAGAGAUGCAAAAUUAGAGAUCCGUGCACAAGUUGAAUCCGUAUACAACUAUAUUUCUUCUAUUAGACAUUGAUUAUAAAAUGAUUGUUUAACCCUUAAAACUGUGGAUAGUCGAAAACCUUUUGUAUUGUUGUUUUUUAAUAUUAGUGAAUUUCUUCUCUUCUGCCCGUGGUAUUUUCCGAUAAGGAUUUUCUACGUAAAAUCUGUGUUUUAUUUUUUUUUUCUUGCUUUGCGACCAUUUCUACUAUCAUUAUCGACGUAUAGUAUAACAACUUAUAUAAUGGAGAAAUUGAUCUCAGAUAUAUGAAUGGUGAUGAUUAGUAUAUGAAAAGUAAUAAAAAAAAUAAUAGAUUGGAUCUCAACUCAAAAAUGCAAUACAAUUACAUCAUGUUUAAUUCGUAUGAAAACAAUACAUAUAAUAACAAUUUUUACUUAAAAAAUUACCUAUUUUGUCACUUUAGUCCUAAUCUUUUAUCACUUUGACUUUCGAGCUUUAAAAUUUAAUCAAAUUAUUUUUUUAAUCAAAAAGUUUAUUGGACUAUUAAAAUUUAACAGAGAUAAUGUAGCAGUUCGCAUAGUAGUUUACAUAUAGUUAAUAAAAGAUUCAAAAAUACAUAAAAGAAUAUUAAAAAAUUCAUAACAUUUUUUUUAAAGUAUCCAUGUCAGCAAUCAAAUAUACGUGGAUUGCCACGUAGGCUACUGCGUCAAUGCUGCUAAAAUUUAAGAUUUUAACACUACUAAAAUAUUGUAUCGUGCAAUACACGUAAUAUACAGUCAAACUUAUCUAUAAUAGUCACAUUUGUCUACCAAAAUUUUAGAUGUUAUAGAGGAGUGGAAGUUAAAUAGCCAUAAUAACAUCCAAGACACACAUAACAACAUUUGAGUUUCAAUUCAUAUUUGAAUUUUUAAAAUUUAAAAUUAAAACUGUAAUAAAUUAAUAAUAUUAAUUACUAAAACUAUAAUAAAUUAAUAAUAUUAAUUACUAAGAUUUAGAUCUUACUCUAGUAAAAUUUACUAAUAUAAUUUCAUUUAUUAAAAGAAAUCAUUAAUAUAAUUAAUAUAUUUUUAUAUAAAAUUUAUACGUUUUACUAAAAUACUAUCCUAACAAAAAAAUAAUAUUUUUAUUACAUUUAAAAAUAGAACUAAAUUUACUAAAAUUUGAGAAAAAAGAUUAUUAUAAAGAACUAAUUUAGUAAAAAAAAUUACUUCAUAUUUUAUGAUUGUUAUUAUAAAUAAAAAGUUUUUAUAAAAAAAUUAAAAAAAAACAUAAAAAAAUUAUUUUUAACAUAUUUAAUAAAUUAUAUUGUGUUUAUUAUUACACUACGAACACACAAAAAGAAUGAAAUACGAUGAGCAUACACAAAUUGAUGGAUACACGGCCAUAGCCUAUUACAUGGUUUGGCCACAUGGUUGUGUAACCCCUCCACACGGCUUAAGGCAUUGCAUUUGGCCUGACCACACGGCCAUGUGCCCCUGUUUUAUAGUUUUGUCCAAAGUUUUUGAAAACUGUCAAUUUUGUCCCUGUAUGAUCGUAGAACUGUUUUUAGAAUUUUAUCCCUUUUAAUUAAAUCCAUGAUAUUAUGAAUGAUGUGGAAUCCAUGAUUUGGUUGGUUAGAUUAUUUACUAUAUGUGCAUGAUAUGUGAUUAAGUACAUGCCUUCUAUGACUGAAUCAUUGAUAAAUUGUUACUGUUACUCGUAUUACUGAAAUUCUGAUUAUAUGAACAACAUGCUUACUGUCACUGAUAAACCGAAUACAUGGAAAACAUGUCUACUGCUACUGUUGAUCUAAAUACAUGAUAAACAUGUCUACUAUUUCUAUACUAUAUUGAUACUCGCAUGUCAUGCUACAUUGUAUGGGGCGAGACACUUUGAAAGGAGGAAGUACUGACAGUUUUAUCUACAAACACUGGUGGUUUAUCCACAAAUUACUGGCAGCUUUUAUUUUCAAAACUAUUGUGUAUUCAUAACCAUUGACAGCAUAUUAACCUGCAAACUUUAACGCCCCAACAAUAUUAGAUUUGCUAGCAUUAAACUCAAGCAUAAUUGCGUGCUUGGUUCAGUGGCCGAAGGCGUUGGGGUGUAGGGUGUGGGUCGUUGGUUCAAGUCUUGGUGAAUGUGGUUUUUGUAGUUUUUGUUAGUUGUUCCAGGUUUAAAGUUUUAUUUAAAAACAAACUGUUAAGUUGAGGGAGUGGUUGGAUGUUAUUGGGCUAGGGAGUUAUAAUUGGUUUCAACUUUAAAUUUUAAUUUUAUUUCUGUUAAAAAUCCCCCUCAAAUCCCACGUUCCAUCUUUCUUUUAUUAUUAUUUUUAUUACUUUUUUCUCUUCUUCUCUACUUCUUGCGUCACUGCUAUAUAGAAAUUGAGUGAUUUUAUUUAUUUUCUUUUGGGUAUUGUUUUGAUCUUUGGCUUUACCUUUUGCAAUUUUGGGUUGCUGUUCAUUGGACCUUCAUUUUAUCUUUUCUUUUUGCUGUUCAAUUUCACUAUUCAUAGGUAAUGUUCAAGUUAGUGAUUCAAUCAUUUAAUUUAGGGUUUUGGGCUGCAAAGAGGUGUGGUUUACUUGCAUUCAUUAAUUAUAUAGUUCGUUGUGUUUAGGUGAGGAUCGUGACACGUUUCUCGUUCCUUCAACAUCGUGAUUUCGUGGGGUUACGGUUUGCUUAAUGGUAAGGGUAUGGAUGUGUUUUGGUAUAUUAGAAGAAUUUGAUUCCUGAUUAUUUUGUUCAUCAAACAUUUCAAUUAAUAAUUUUGUAUUCAUCGUAUUUAGGUAUUGGGAAUCUUAUGGUUGCUUUCGCAUAAAAACCGAACCAGGUGUGUAACGAAAACACGAGAAAUCAAGAUUCGGUAAAAGCCGAAAAGUGGCCUGUCGAUGCCACACGGGCAUGUGCCCGGCCGUGUGUCACACACGGCCUUGUGACUGGCAAGUGUAUGGCCGUGUGGGCCGUAAGGGCUAUUGGCCAAGCCGUAUGGGCCACACGGGCUAUGGGCCAGGCCGUGUGGGCCACAAGGGCAAGGGCAAGGCCAAUUUGGGCGUGUGGACCCAAAAAGUCUAAAAUUUUCCCUAGGGUCGUAUAAGUCAUUCCGAUCGAUUGUGGGCUUUUCGCAGGGUCGGUAAGGGCAAAGAAACCCUAGUGCAUGAUACCUUCCUAAUCCGAUAGAUUGAUUUGAGUUUAAGAAAUUGAUAUGCAUGAUUUGUCUGUUUUGUGAAAGCAUGUAUGAUAUAUGUAUGUGAGCAUGCACGCACGUUAAUUCUAUAUAUUUGUAUCUAUUAUCUGUAUCUGUAUAUGGGGCGGGUUUGGUUUAUGUGAAAGAAGUGUUCUGUGAGGCGACAUAUCGUUGAUUUACUGGCAGCAUGUCUGCAUACUAUUCGGAUAAGUGUCGUUUAGACACUAUGUGAUGUGUAGAGAUGGGUGGGUGUUUUAUACCCCACAUGGUGUGUUGGGAUGGACAGAGAUGGUGUGUAGAGGAUGGGGGUAGGACUUUGUAUAUCUAUAUAUCUGUAUGUUCUGGAAAUCUGAUUCUGAUAUGAUUUGACUUUGUUAGGGACUUAUGCCCGCUUCUGUUAUGAAAUACUGGAAAUCUAAAUUUUAUGCAUGUUUGUCUCUGUUAAGUUACACAUUGAGUUUAUGAAAACUCACAUCUGCUGUCUGUUCUGUUCAGGUAAUCAUCAGGCAUAGGUGGAUCGGUGUGACGGAGUCUCAAUAGUGACCACUAGUUCAUGAAUUGGUUUAAUUAAUAGUUUUAUUUUAAUUCUAGAUUAUUUUGAGAGUUUGUAAUUUUUGGAACUCUUUGGACUAUUUGGUUUAAUUUUGGUUUUGGACGUGUUUUGAUAUUUUUACAAUUUUUAACAAAAUAAUUUAUGAAAACAAUGGUUUACACAAACAAAUAUUUUUUUGAAAUCAAGCUUGGUUUUCAACUAUAUCACCUUAUAAAAAUUCCCUGCAACUAAUGUUUUACAUAAAAGGACUAUAAAUGAUGGAUUCAUUAAAGAGAAAAAUAUUAAGUUUUACAAAAACGUGGGCUCUUUUAGAGCAAUUAAUAUGAUGAUUUUUAACACGAAAGUUGGUUUCAAAAUCCUUCUUCGUAAUAUUUCUAGAUCCAGCCAUAACGUCAAGGUCGGGUUUGAGGUGUUACACAAACACUAAUGGUUUAUGCAUAUUUUUACUAGCAACUUUUAUCUGCAAACCUGUUGUGUAUUCACAACUACUGGCAGCGUAUUAACUUGCAACAUUAGUGGUUCAUCCACAAACUGAAGUGUCCGAGAUAUAAAAGUUUUAGGGAACUCUUAUUGUAGACUGUAGCAGUGGGGUAGUGUAACACCCUUAUCCCGUGUCUGUUACUGGAUUAGGGUUAUGAAGUGUUACAAUACAAAUCAGACACAUAUAACAUCAUUUAAACAUACAUUUAUUAAAGUUACAAAACAAAAAUCCAAAACAAGCCUUAUUCAUAUCAUACAUAUAUUUACGAGCCUUAUAUCGAGUAUACAAGACAUAAAAAUGAAUAUGGAAACAACCAAGGAUCAAUUUGAAUCAAAACAAAAAACUUAGAAAAUUUAGAAAACAGGGGUCAUAUAGCCAUAUGGCUAGGCUGUGUGACAAAGCCUAGGCCAUGUAGUCCAGAGACAUGGCCAUGUCGCCAACUAUGUGAUAGACCGUGUAACUUUCAAAAUAGGGUUACACGGUCGUGUCUCAUCCCGUGUUUGCUUCGAAGUUGGGUUACACAGUCAUGUCCCAGACCAUGUGCUAGACCAUGUAACAAUUUAAAUAUAGUCAAACGGUCGUGUUAUAGGCCAUGUGAAACCUGCACCUAAAAUUCAAUUUAUACAGGAUCGUGUGGUGUGACCGUGUGUGGCACAUGGCCGUGUGACAACCCAUGUCUCAAGCCGUGUGACAGCUCGUGUCACAGGCCGUAUGCAGCUGAAUGUCUUCCAACCCUAUCUUAGACUCCAAGCCAAACCAUUUACCAACAUAUUAACCACCCAAAAUCACAUAUAAAGACAUCUAAAAACAUGUCAAAAUACACCAUUUAAAUCACAACCAAUGUGCCCUCAUUGCAACCACAAUUAAAAAACCAUUCAACCAAUUUACAUAAUUAAGGAAUAAUCUUUAUCAUUAGUUCAUCAUUCAUGCCUACAACCAUCAAUCAAAAAUUGAUAAAAGUUAUGAUCAUUCACAACCAAACUACCAUUUUAAUGCAUCACUACAUAAUAUAUAUGACAUCAUGGAUAAAUUUAACCAAAAUUAACACAAGCAUACAUCCAAAAUCAACCACAUUAACUAGUUAUAACAUGUGAACUUAAACUUUACAUAUAAACAACUUAACACAUAUAUACAUGCCACAUCCAAAAAUGAUAAACAAAACCGACAAAUAUUGGAUAAUGUGAGCUCCAAAUCUGUCCAUCCGGUCUUUCCACAAAAUGAUAACUACAAAAGAAAGUAUAAACAAACAUGGAAGCUUCGGAAGCUUAAUAAGUCCAUAGCCUAAACAUCAUUUAACUUACCUUAACAAAGAUAAAUAAACAAGAAGAUAAUUUAUAACUCCUGAUAACUAAAUACAAGUUCACACCAUAUUAGUAUUUAUUCAUAUAUAUAACAUAAUAACAUCUUCUCAAAAGACUUAACCAAUACCAUCAACCAAGCUUCCUCAAUGUAACCAUCCACAUAUAUAAACAAGAAAUUUAUUGUAACAUUUUUCACUUAUUAACAUCAUAGAUAUGCAAUAGAAUUAAGCAAGUAGAUAAGUUGUAAAUCAAUGAACACAUUGCCCAAUGAACUAUAGUAACUUGACUCGGAUACUUAGGUAAAUACACCACACCAAAGGCAUCAUAGAUGCGUACCAGAGCACUAAAGUGAAAAUAGAGGCAUCGAAGUGCAAACAGAGUCACCGAAGUGCAACCCCAUACAUGUAACACCCCAAACCUGGCUUAGACAUUAUGGCCAAACCUAAAAAGUUACAAUAACCAUUUGAAAAGUCCAGCCUAGAUUUGUUGAAAUUUAAACAGUCCAAAAUCAUUAAAAACAAUUAUAUCCAUCUACGAAAAUCCAAAAAUUUGAAAACAAAUCCGAAACAAAACAUACUAUAGUAUAAAUUUGAUUAAAACAAAUAAAAUAAACAAAUAUAGUUGACCGAGUUCUAGCUACACCGACCCGUCUAAGUUUGUGGGUUACCUAAAAUUCAAUCAAACCAACAUAAUGAGUUUACAUACUCAGUGUGCAACUUAUGUAUUCAAAUAGCAUAAAAUAUCAGACAAGUAUUCGAGUUCUCAGUUUCAGAAAGUUCUCAAAGUUAGAUACAGAAACAAAAACAGGAUAUAUCAGAUACAGAUACAAAUCAUGUCAUAAACAGAUGCAAAACCUACCACCAUCCGUUACACACCAUCUCCAUCCAUCCUUACACACCAUAUAAGGGUAUCAAGAACCUAUCCAUCCCUACACACCGCAUAGUGAUUGUUUGUCACGUUUCAGAAUAAUUGCAGACCAACUGCCAGAUCAAAAUGCGAUAAAUUUCUAUAACCAGAUUUAUAUAUGGCUUAGCCACCAAAAACGACAGAUAAUUAAUUGCCUAAACUUCCUUCUUUAUCACAAAUCCCAACCCAAUGCAAAUACGAAGUUAUUAGAUAUUAAAAUGCACAUACAAUUAUCCCAAUACAAAUCAUAUUUAGAUAAUGUAGAUUAUAAUCAUUUAGUAGAUAUCGCAUCAGAUAUACGUGCAGAAGGCCUACGUUCGAUUUGAAUGACCUUUAUGACCCUAGGGAAAAAUUUCAGUUUUUGGCCCACACGUCCGUAUGGAUUUACACAGCUUGGAUGACUGGCCCGUGUGGUCCACAUGGCCUAGCACACGUUUGUGUGACUCUAGCCAGAGAGUUACACGAUUUAUACACACGCCCGUGUCAUUUGACCGUGUGACUCACAAUCAAAACAGUCCCUCACACGACUUGGACACACACCUGUGUGAACUAAGUUAGAGAGUUACACGACCUACCACAUGGUCUUGUGGCUUACACAACCUACCACACAGCCUGGAACACGACCAUGUGGCAUUGACAACCAUGGAUUCCGACUUUCUUCGUUCGCGAAAAACUUAGUUUUCGUUAAACACCUGACACAAGUAUGACGUAGAAGCAACAGAGAUGAUCCCAAAACUUAAAACAACAACCAAUUGCCCAAUUAAUCGAUGAAAUCAUACUAAAAUGUUAAAUUAACAUCGACCAAAAAAUUAUGACAAAGAACUUCAACGCAAAACCCCGAAUCACAAAAAUAAGCACUUACCUUUACACAAAAAGACAAUGCGAGAACUUAAAUCAUGGAAUGAACUUGAUUUGCAACUUCUAUGCCUAAAAGAGAAACUAGUCAAAAACUUAACAGAAAGUUCAAAAUGGAAUGGUAGAAAUGUAACACCCCAUACUAGAGUCCGUACCGAAUUAGGGUUACAAGACAUUACCGAUCAAUACAAAUCAUUAUACAAUUAUUUCACAUACAUUUGUCAAUCAUCACCACAUCGUAGCCACUCAAUCCCCAUUAUCAUAAACCAAAUUUAUGCUUAUUUUCCAUACCAAAGUAUACCAAAUUCAUAACAAAACCUCACACCAACUUACUCAAAAAUGACUAUUUCUCAUUAGGCAGUAUAUACAUAAAAAAAACAUACCAAUUCUCAACACCAAGUAUAUAUCAAAAUCAAACCAUAAUCACAUUUAAUAUCAUGCCAUAUCACAUGGCAAUAUUUAUACCUAUCAAAACAAAUCCCAAGUUCUCUAGUCUAUACAUGCCAUACUUUAGUAUAUACAUUUCAAAAAGGUACCAAAAUAGAUAUCCGAUAGUGUGUUGAGUCGCUUGACGAUCCCCGGAUCUGAGCUAGCUUUAUAACACUGUAAAACAGAGAAAACUUCACACAGUAAGCUUAGGGCUUAGUAAAUUCAUAAUAUAAUACAUUUAAUUCAUCAUUUAAAAUGCUAUAUGACAUAUUUGCUAACACAUAGUUCGAUUCAUAUCACUACUCAAUCUCAUUCAUAACUAUUACUCAUUUCAUACAAUUUCUUUUAGCUCACAUACAAGUAUAUUUAUUUCUACUCAUUUCAACUUAUUCAACCAUGUUCAUUCAUUUUCAUACUCUUGCUUCUAUCUCAUACACAAUAUCAUCAACCACAUAGGCUUCGUACAUACCUGUACCAUCUCGUACUUAUCUAUUACAUUUACCACUUCAACGUUCAAUGUACUAAUUUGUUCGGUCAUCUUUUAACGUUUGAGGACAUCGCACAGUUAGUGCCAACAAAUUCACCAAAGCUAUAAAAUAUCUCAGACUUAGUGCCUUUACUUUAAACCGAAAUUUGGCUUAGUAUCUCACACUUAGUGCCAAUUAUUCAGCCAAUGCUGCUUUAGUCUCGCACACUCAGUGCCAUUUUUGGUAGCUGUAGCUAUUUGAUAUUUGCACACUUAGUGCCGCAUAUAUUCGAUCCACAUUUCACAUUCUAAAUUUCACAAUCUCAUUUCUAUUCAUUUCAUCUCAUUUAACAUUAAUUAAAACCAUAUACAUUAUAUCCGAACUUACCUCGAACGUAGCAACGACUAGAUUAGUCGAUCAAUCGAGCACUUUGUUCUUGCCUCGCUCUAGAUCCAAAUUUCUCCUCUCUUGAUCUAUAUAUAUUUAAAUUCACUUAUUCAAUCUCACAAUUCAUUCACAUAAAUCCAUAAACACAUAGUUAGGCAUUUUUUUCAAAUUAGUACUCAUAUUUUCACCUUUGGACAUUUUAGUCCCUAAUUCAUAAAUACAUAAAAUACACAUAAUUUCUUUGUACUCAUGCUUGGCCGAAUAUUUAUUGAGUCCCUAGCAACCCAUAUACUUCAUUUAUUUCACAUCUUAACCCCUCAAUUUCUCAUUUUCACAAUUUAACCCAAAAUGCUCAAAUUCAUCAAAAAUGCAAAUACAAACAUCUAUCACAUAUCCUUCAUAUUUCAUCAACUAUCAUCACAAAGCUUACAAAAUCAUCAAUGACUCAUUUCAAAAUCAUAAUCAAAUUCUAAAAUUGAGGCACGGGCUUGAUAGAUUAUUAAGCAACAACCACAAAAACAUAAAAAUCAUAAAAAAUGGAUCAAAACACAUACCUUAAUCAAGCAAAAUUCUAACCGAAACCUAGCUAGCUUUUUCUUUUCUUUUCUUUCUUUGUAUUUUCGGCAAGAUGAACACAAAAUGGCCACUAAUGCAUGUUUUUUUUUAAUUUAAUAAACAUUAAGACAUUAAUUACUAUUUUAUCCUUAAUGAAUUAACAUGAAAACCAUUUAAUACAAGCCCAUUUAUAUCCAUUAACCUUAUUAAAGGUAUAAUAUCAUCAUAAGGCCUUUGGUUUAAUAAACUAUAGCCAUUAAACACUUUUAACUACUAGCACACAGCUUUUGCAUUUUUCGUGAUUAAGUUUUUUUUUAAUCGAGCACACAAACGGUAAAAUUACCACACGAAACUUCCAUUCAUACCUUAUCACAUACCAUAAACAUAAAAAAUAAUAUUCAAAUUUUUUUUGACCUUAGAUUUGUGGUCCCGAAACCACUGUUUCGACUAGGGUCGAAACUAGGCUAUUACAAGAAAACCCCAACAAGAAAAAGACAAAAAUCAAGCAAUAACAGAAGAAAGAAAAAUGGAACUUACGCUAUUAGCCUGUCAAUCAAAUAAAGAACAACCUAAUUCCUAGACAAAUCCAGCAGUAAGAUUAAUAAAGGAAAGAACAAAGAAGAAAAAAACAAUGGUAACGUAAGAAAGAGGGAAGAAAAACUUUGAAACGUAAAAGGACAAAAAAUUUGGAAAAGAAAAUCAAUUAAAAACUUCAAAAAUAAGAUUUAUUUCACAAAAUAGCAAAACAUUUCUUUAUUGCUUACAUAGUGACUCGAACACAAGAUCAAAGACAUACAAGAGCUUAACCAUUGAACUAGUAGACUCAUUCUUAACAUAAACUUACACAAAAUUAAACUUGAGCCAAACGUUCCUAGAUAAUGUUUGAAUCAAAUGAAUAAUAAAAUUUCCAAAAGUGGGACUCAGACCCCUAAUCUUGAACACACAAUUAAGGCACUAAACCACUGAAGAAAAAUACAUAUCUUAUGACAAAAUUUAACAACCAAAGGUUCUAAUUUUGGGGUGUUACAGUACAAGCGCAUAUACUAACCCUAUUAGCAUGCCAAUCGUAUCCUAAUCGUUUACUACGUUCAAAGACCACUUAACAUAAUUCUUAACAUUAUAAAUUAGAAACACUUCCACAAUAUCCAUACACAUGCUAUAAGCCAAUUACAAUCAUUUCAAUAUCAACUAACCAUAUUAUUCAACAAUUACUGAAUAAUCAACUCUCACCUGUACUUAAUUGUAGACAUUUUAUAAUUUCAAAUUAAUAUCAUAAUUCAAUCUAGACAAAAUUUAACCGAAACAUAAUGUCACAAAUUAUAAAUAUAUAAAUAUAUUUAUCUAUACUAUGAACUUACCUACUAAGUACUAUCAAUUUCCUCGCAAGGACUACUCCACAAUUUUCCCUUUUUCCACGAUUAUUGUCUUUUUAACUUGAUUCUUGAUCUAUAUAGUAAUUAAAUUAAAUUUAUUAAAUUCACAUGCAUAAAAAAUUGAAUUCAAUACAUGAGACCCUUAAUUUUCACUUUUACAACUUCCCCUAAAUUUUUUACUUUAUUCAAUCUAGUCCUUUAAACCAAAACUAUUCAAAAUUCCAUAAUUCAUCCCCAACAACCAAAACUGAAUAUACCAACAGCUUAAAACAGUCCUUAAACACUUAAAAAUUACAGAAUUUUUACAUGGAAUUUUAAUUAUUUAUACAUUAGUCUUUGAACCCAAAACUAGCAAAAAAAAAUCUUUUACACAAUCAUACUAACCAACAUUCAAAUUUAUAAAUCCUUCUUAAAAACUCAAGAACACCAAAAAUCCA
rnacentral:lncRNA from 1 species